rnacentral:rRNA from 1 species
AGCAGUCGCCACGGGAAUACGUAGGUGGCAAGCGUUGUCCGGAAUUAUUGGGCGUAAAGCGUACGUAGGCGGAUAUUUAAGUCAGGGGUGAAAUCCCAGAGCUCAACUCUGGAACUGCCUUUGAUACUGGGUAUCUUGAGUAUGGAAGAGGUGAGUGGAAUUCCGAGUGUAGAGGUGAAAUUCGUAGAUAUUCGGAGGAACACCAGUGGCGAAGGCGGCUCACUGGUCCAUUACUGACGCUGAGGUGCGAAAGCGUGGGGAGCAAACAGGAUUAGAGACCCGCGUAGUCCCUGUCUCUUAUAC